UUUUGCUUUAUAUAUUUUUGGGUUAAUUUCAUCAAGGCUCUCGAAAAUAUAUCCAGUAAUAAAUAUAUUAUUAUAAAGUUUAAUUUUUUAUUUUUAGUGCUACGAAAGUUUUACUGUUUCCAAGUAUAACUCUGCUGUUAGAAUCCAUUAGAAAAAUAUAAUUAAUUAUGAGUAAAAUACUUAACCCCUCUUAUAUUAUUUGAUCGAAUACUUUUUAGGAAGACAUAUAUUUUUAUAUAAUUCUAUCAGUUGGGCUUUUAGAGCUAUAUAUUUGUAAGGGUCAUUUUACUUAACUGCUGUUAAAAUAGAAACAAUCUCUAGCAGCAACAAACCAAAGGGGCAAAUAUAAAUAUUACUAAACUUUUUGCAGGGAUAAAAAUAAAAAGUUGAACUCUGUAUGAAUAUAUUUGCUAUUCGAUAUGUUUAUAAAGAGCUGUAUACAAUCACUACAACAGAAUUAGAUUAUAGGGACACAUGUUUGGGACACUUUUGAGUAAGUGUCCUAUUUAUGCUAAAGCUUAAAAAAACAUCUACUAAUCCCUAAAUAUAAAGACCAAUCCAACCAAAAAUAAAAGAUUACUCUACUCAACCCACCACACCCAGUCCAUUUGGCCCGAUUACAAACAGAAAAAAAAAGAAAAAUCAAUUACCAUCUUUUCUUCUCUCUUCACUCAAUCCUCUGAAAUUCUAGACGAAGAGCCUUUUCUGUCGUCCUCCUCCGCCACCGCAGCCAACGAGAUAGAGUUUCGGCGGUUGCUAAAUGCUUAAAUAAGUAUUGGUAAAUUAGCAGCACUCUUUUCGAUUAUAGCGACACUCUUUAACUGUCACUAUAUAUCUAGCGACCCCACAUAUAGCAACACUUUUUAAAAGUGUCGGUAAUUUUAGCUAGCAGCACUUUUUUGACAUGUAUCUAUAUUUAAAAGUGUCGCUAUAGACCGUUUUUGUUGUAGUGAAUUAACCCUAUAUUUUAUAUACACAUAUUCUCAGCAAUAUAUUAUUUAUACACCCCAAAGAAAAAUUAUAUAAAUUUUACAUUGUAACCUCUGUGCGACUGAAAUUUAUUUUUUUAUUAUUAUUAUUUUAUUAAAAAUUUUUGAAAAAAAUUUAAAUUUUAAAAUUUUAAGGUGUAAAAUGUACCUACCGAUAAUGACAGUACAUAGAGAAUUUUU
rnacentral:lncRNA from 1 species